AGAUAAAGUAGUUGAGCUAAUAGACAAUAUGAGUCUCUUCUUCCUGAGUCUCAGAAGGAAAUAAUUCUGCAGUAGGAGCCUUGGGAGAGAGAGAGCUAUAAAAACAGGUUCUGCUCUGAUGGGCAGACAUGGGGAGAGAGACUAUAUAAUUUUGUACAUUGAAUGAGGCUAAUUCAAAUAGUGUUAAUUGUCCCUCCACCACCAGUCAAGGUGAUGCCUUGAGACUCAGCACAACUCCGCUGGAUCUCCCCUGCCUGGAAUUGAAAGUGUUAGAAGCUGAAUGAUGUUUCAGGAGAAACAAUGAUCUUUGAUUUAGCUGUGUACUCCAUCCAUCCCAGCAUACCUUGGAGCCAGGGGCAGGAAAGCAAAGAAGGGGACAGGGUCAGUGUUCUAUUGUUCUGUGUCCUCUACAUUUGCACAUGCACAGAGAGUAUAGUGUUUAGAGAAGCAUGGUAG
rnacentral:lncRNA from 1 species